rnacentral:rRNA from 1 species
GAUGAACGCUGGCGGCGUGCCUAACACAUGCAAGUCGAACGAGCAAACGAGGAGCUUGCUCUCCUGACGUUAGCGGCGGACGUAUGAGUGACACGUGGAUAACCUACUUAUUAAACUGGGAUAACUUCGGGAAACAGGAGCUGAUACCGCUGCAUAUAUCGAACCGCAGGACACAGUAGUGAAACACGGUUUUGCAGACACUUAUAGAUGGAGCCGCGCCCGAUUAGCUAGUGGGUAAGGGAACGGCUUACCAAGGCAACGAUGCGUAGCCGACCUGAGAGGGUGAUCGGCCACCCUGGAACUGAGACACGGCCCAGACUCCGACGGGAGGCAGCAGUAGGGAAUCUUCCGCGAUGGGGCAAAGCCUGACGGAGCAACACCGCGUGAGUGAUGAAGGACCUCCGAUCGUAAAACGCUGUUAUUAGGGAAGAACAAAUGUGCAAUCAACUAUGCACGUAGUGACGGUACCUAACCAGGAAGCCCCGGCUAACUACGUG